CGUCCUACGGGAGGCAGCAGUGGGGGAUAUUGCACAAUGGAGGAAACUCUGAUGCAGCGACGCCGCGUGAGGGAAGACGGUCUUCGGAUUGUAAACCUCUGUCUUUGGGGAAGAAAAUGACGGUACCCAAAGAGGAAGCCCCGGCUAACUACGUGCCAGCAGCCGCGGUAAAACGUAGGGGGCGAGCGUUGUCCGGAAUGACUGGGCGUAAAGGGUGCGUAGGCGGCAUAAUAAGUUAGAAGUGAAAUACCCAGAGCUUAACUCGGGUGCUGCUUCUAAGACUGUUGAGCUUGAGUGCGGGAGAG
rnacentral:rRNA from 1 species